GUCUUCCAGGAGCGCGCUUGAGCGGACGCUGCCUACCGGUGGCCGGGCGGGAUGUAACCCGCUGCUGAGCUGGCAGCUCUGUGUCGCUAGGCUUCGGCCCGGCCGCCGCCGCACAUAAGCUGCGAGGAGGAGCUUUACGACUUCCCGGUCUUCGGGGCCGGGCGCAGCAAGGGCCAGACUCUGCGCUAGCAGGCGCUGCGCGCCAACCGGCCGGCACCUGUCGCAGAAGGUGCAACCGAUCGCACUGUCGCGCCGAAGCUCCUCAAUGGCCAGCGCCAGCUGCAGCCCCGGCCGCCCACUCGCCUCACCUGAGCCUGGGUACGUGCGCCCCACAACACCUCCCCCAGGCAGGGCCCGGGGACCCCCGGGAGCGUCCCCGGCUACCUGGCGCCGCUCAUCCUGGGUAGGGUUGGCCCCCUCUGAGGCUGCCCGGCAUGAGGGAGCUGCACCCCUGAGCUUGACCUCUGACGGCCCUUUGUAAUAGCAUUAAGUCUUUGAAACUUUGUAGCGGGGUAGAAGGGGCUAGGAAACGAAGAAAACAUCUUUUUAAAAAUAUAAGCGGUCGGCUGGGCGAGGUGGCCCACGCCUGUAAUCCCAGCACUUUGGGAGGUCGAGGCGGGUGGAUCACGAGGACAGGAGUUCAAGACCAGCCUGGCCAGCAUGGUUUCACUGAAACCCCGUCUCUACUAAAAACACAAAAAUUAGUCGGGCGUGGUGGCGGGUGCCUGUAAUCCCAGCUACUCGGGAGGCUGAGGCAGAGAAUUGUUUGAACCCGGGAUGCGGAGGUUGCAGUGAGCGGAGAUCGCGCCACUGCACUCCAGCCUGGGCAACAGACCAAGACUCCGUCUAAACAAACAAAUAUAUGUGUGUAUAUAUAUGCGAUCGAGCCCGGGAGGUUGAGAUUACAGUGAGCUGAGAUUAUAUAAGCGAUCAAGCACUGGAGGUUGAGGUUACAGUGAGCUGAGAUUGCGCCAUUGCACUCCAGCCCGUGUAACAGAGGGAGACUCUGUCUCUAAAAAAUUAUAUGCAAGUGAGCGCUUUUCUUCCAGCGCUCAUGCUCAGACUGAAGAAAGUAAUUGGGCCAGGCCUGGUGGCUCACGCCCAUAAUCCCAGCAUUUUGGGGAGGCGGAGGCGGAGGCGGAAGCGGGUGGGUCGCUUGAGCUCAGGAAUUCCAGACUAGUUUGGGCAACAUGGUGGAACCCUGUCUCUACAAAAAUACAAAAAAUUAGCUGGGCAUGGUGGCACGCACUUGUAGUCUCCGCUACUUGCCGGGCUUAGGCGGGAGGAUCGCUCGGCUGCAGCCUCGACCUCCUGGGGCAAUCCAUUUCAGCCUCCCAAAGUGCUGAGAUUACAGGAAUGAGCCAUCGUGCCUGGCUUUGCACUAUAUUUUAAUACUUUUUUUGAAAAUGGAAACUUUUACAGGCAAUUUACUUCAAACUAAUGAUAAGGAAGUGAUGCUGUUCUGUUCUGUUUUGUUGUUUUUGUGUUUUUUUUUUUUUCUUUUUUGAGAUGGGGUCUUGCCCAGGUUGGAGUGAGGUGGUGCAAACAAGGCUCACUGCAGCCUUGACCUUCUGGCUCAAGGAAUCCUUCCCCGUCAGCGUCCCCGGUAGCUAGGACUACAGGUGCGCACCACCACACCCAGGAGUUCAAGGCUGCAGUGAGCCAUGAUCGUACCACUGCACUCCAGCCUGGGCAACACAGCGAGACCCUGACUCCACAAAUAAAUAAAUCAACAUCAUAUGAUCUGUACCAGGGUAUAGGCAGGUGCUAUGAUCCCCACUUUUCAUCCUCAACUCUAAGUUGAGUCAUACAUCAACCUCUAGUAAAAAGUGGCAUGCUCUCAGUCAAAGGGGUAAGCCCAAACCACGUGGAGAGAAUCUUAUCUCUUUUGAGAGCUAAUAUAAAAAGAAUUCCUCCUAGGCAUAAAAAUAUUGUGACAUCAGUUACUUAGGCUAAACAUGCCUAUUAUGCUAAGUGAGUUAUUAACAAUAAAUACUUUAACUCUGUGCCAUGUUACUUAUCAUAAUCUGAUUUAUAAUUUGUUUUAACCUUAGGUUAUAUAUACCUUGAAGCCAUUUAUAUUUUGGUAUACUUGUAAUAAUUACUA
rnacentral:lncRNA from 1 species